UGGAGUUUUCCCCUCUCGUUAUUCUUCGUGUGUUUGUAUCUGGGAGGAGGGUGUUUCAAGCAGGCAAUGCAAGGUUUGUGCCGUCCAAAUGAAGGAGAUCCGGAUUAAAGAAAUAGACAAGCUGGCCUGCAGUCAGUGACUGAAAUCUACAAGAAGGUUGUGCCUCUGAGAAUCUGGUGACUUCUUAAUGAGCUGAACACCCCGGCAGAGGGGAAGUCCAGUGAAUGGAGUGGCUGAACUAGUUUGGAGGAUGGCACAGAACAAAAGCUCCUGGUAACCAGCUCCAAUAUCUUCCAAAGAAAUGUCAUUGAAUGCUGAUUUUUUUUUAAACUCUCAAAAGCUGUGAAUGACCUGGGUAACAUUUAACUUGCUGUCAACGCCUUUGUGGUGUGCUUCAGGUAAAGAAGAAAAAGAACAUUCCAUGACUUUGAGCUGAUCCUGACGAAAACUGGGGUACUUCUUGAAGAGUUUUUUUUACGACACUAAGCUCCCAAAGGGCACUGUGAUGAUAAACAGGUAAUCUGAUAAACUGAUAUUGGAUAAAGGCUGGCUAAGUUAUUAGGAAGAACUCCCACACUUUUUGAAAUAGUGCUAUCGAGUCUUGUACAGCCACUUGAGAAAAUGAGGCUUGAUUCAUUAUCUCGCCCUUGAGGAUGCAUGGGAUUUUCAUUGCAGUAUGUCCUGGGAGUCCAUGAGUGAGACUUGCAUCUAAGUCUGAAGUUGAUGGAUGCCAUGGUCAACUUACUCUUCAAGCAGGAGUGUUGCAAUUAAUUCCAAUAGCGAUGACCCAUAUCUUUGAUAUUAGCCAACAGCUUGUUCGCCGUGGUAUUAUUAACGCAUUUUUUUGAACAGUGGGGCAAGGAGAUUUAAACAAAUGUACGAAUGCUUAUUACAAUCAUUUGGCAUCCAUGGGGAAUGGGGGAUUGCUGGUUGCAUGAGAAUUGCUCCAAAAAAUCAAACACUGAUAUUCUAUGCAUAAACCUUUAAAUAAAUUUCUGAGCUCUUUAGCCUUUCAAAUAACAAUGUUUUACUCUGUAAUUCUACAUUUUAAGGCUAAACAGUUUUAAUAUAAAAUACAGAGAAAGUAAAUCAAAUGAGUGACUGUACUCACCAUCAUAUGAAGUGCAAAUCUUCAAAGAGGAUGUUGCUGCUAAUCAGCCUUAGUUGCACCGCCCUUGUGUGUAAACAUAAAAAUGUCACGCCUAUUUUGUAUAACACUUGAAAUAAAAUUCAUUGCUUGAGCUAAUCUUCAUAAAAACAAAUUGCUUAUUAUUCUUAAAUUUUUGCUGGUCGCUUGAGAAUUAUGGAUGCAUAAAUACCAGAUAAAUGAGAGUUUACUGUA